AUUGAACGCUGGCGGCAGGCCUAACACAUGCAAGUCGAGCGAGCGGCGGACGGGUGUGUAAUGUAUGGGGCUCUGCCCGAUAGAGGGGGAUAACUACUGGAAACUGUUGCUAAUACCGCAUACUAUCGGAUGACCCCAAUUGGGAUUAGCUAGUAGGUGGGGCAAAGGCUCACCUAGGCGACGAUCUCUAACUGGUCUGAGAGGAUGAUCAGCCACACUGGGACUGAGACACGGCCCAGACUCCUACGGGAGGCAGCAGUGGGGAAUAUUGCACAAUGGGCGAAAGCCUGAUGCAGCCAUGCCGCGUGUAUGAAGAAGGUCUUAGGGUUGUAAAGUACUUUCAGCGGGGAGGCGUUACCCGCAGAAGAAGCACCGGCUAACUCCGUGCCAGCAGCCGCGGUAAUUC
rnacentral:rRNA from 1 species